GAUUCCCCUAGUAACGGCGAGCGAACCGGGAGCAGCCCAGCUUGAGAAUCGGGCGGCCCUGCCGUCUGAAUUGUAGUCUGUAGAAGCGUCCUCAGCGACGGACCGGGCCCAAGUCCACUGGAAAGUGGCGCCGGAGAGGGUGAGAGCCCCGUCGUGCCCGGACCCUGCCGCACCACGAGGCGCUGUCGGCGAGUCGGGUUGUUUGGGAAUGCAGCCCCAAUCGGGCGGUAAAUUCCGUCCAAGGCUAAAUACCGGCGAGAGACCGAUAGCGAACAAGUACCGCGAGGGAAAGAUGAAAAGGACUUUGAAAAGAGAGUCAAAGAGUGCUUGAAAUUGUCGGGAGGGAAGCGGAUGGGGGCCGGCGAUGCGCCUCGGUCGGACGCGGAACGGCCAACAGCCGGUCCGCCACUCGACUCGGGGCGUGGACCGUUGCGGGUCGGGGCGGCGGCCAAAGCCCGUGCGGACGAUCCCGCCUGUGGUCGCCGUCGCCUCGAUCGGGGAGAUCGGCGCGCGCCUUCUGGGCGUGCCAAUCGGCACGAGCGCGCCUCGGCAAACGGCCUGCGGGCCCCCCAUUCGG
rnacentral:rRNA from 1 species